rnacentral:rRNA from 1 species
GCUUGUCUCAAAGAUUAAGCCAUGCAUGUCUAAGUAUAAACAAAUCUAUACUGUGAAACUGCGAAUGGCUCAUUAUAUCAGUUAUAGUUUAUUUGAUGGUUCUUGCUACUUGGAUAACCGUAGUAAUUCUAGAGCUAAUACAUGCAUCAAACCCCGACUUCUGGAAGGGGUGUAUUUAUUAGAUGGAAACCAAUGCGGGGCAACCCGGUGUUGUGGUGAAUCAUGAUAACUUUGCGGAUCGCGUCCUCGUGUCGCGACGAAUCAUUCAAGUUUCUGCCCUAUCAGCUUUGGAUGGUAGGGUAUUGGCCUACCAUGGCUUUGACGGGUAACGGAGAAUUAGGGUUCGAUUCCGGAGAGGGAGCCUGAGAGAUGGCUACCACAUCCAAGGAAGGCAGCAGG